rnacentral:rRNA from 1 species
UACGUAGGGUGCAAGCGUUUAUCCGGAAUUAUUGGGCGUAAAGAGCUCGUAGGCGGUUGUCGCGUCUGCUGUGAAAACCCGAGGCUCAACCUCGGGCCUGCAGUGGGUACGGGCAGACUAGAGUGCGGUAGGGGGAGAUUGGAAUUCCUGGUGUAGCGGUGGAAUGCGCAGAUAUCAGGAGGAACACCAAUGGCGAAGGCAGAUCUCUGGGCCGUAACUGACGCUGAGGAGCGAAAGCAUGGGGAGCGAACAGG